rnacentral:lncRNA from 1 species
UCUGUUUAUUCAUCCUGAAAAAUAAGCAAUUCUAUUUAAUCACUUCCCUCUAUAAAUAAGCAAUUCAAUAAAAGACAAAAGAAAAAUUAGCUUAUCACAAAUCUUGCUCCACCUCCAGCUUAUCACAAAUCCUGAUUAUUCCUGUUCCGUUCUUCGUUCUCCAUUCCCAAUCCUAGUCCCUGUUCUCCGGCCCCGUCUCUUCAUCUUCCCCUCGUUUCACUUUUCUAACAGAAAUGACUAAUAAGAGAAAACACAAAAGGAAAAGAUGGAGAUAGAGAGAUCAACUCUCAGAUUAGCGGCCCAUUCUAUUAUUCUCCUCUUUUUCUUUUCUUCCUAAUUUGGAUCGGAGACAUGGUUUUGUGAUGGACUGAUUUUUUU